UAACGAAUCUUCCCCAAUGCACGAAAGUGUGAGGGAGCGACGCCGCGUGGAGGAUGAAGUCCUUCGGGAUGUAAACUCCUGUCAGGGGUUAGAAAGUUCUGAUCAACCCCAGAGGAAGUGGCGGCUAACUCUGUGCCAGCAGCCGCGGUAAGACAGAGGCCACAAGCGUUAGGCGGAAUCACUGGGCUUAAAGCGUGUGUAGGCGGACCGGUAAGUGCUUGGUGAAAUCCCCCGGCUCAACCGGGGAAUGGCGGGGCAUACUGGCGGUCUUGAGCUGGCUAGGGGUCACUGGAACAAACGGUGGAGCGGUGAAAUGCGUAGAUAUCGGGUGGAACGCCCAAGGUGAAAACAGGUGACUGGGGGCAAGCUGACGAUGAGACACGAAAGCCAGGGGAGCAAACG
rnacentral:rRNA from 1 species